GCCCACAGGGAUGAUGCUCAUGCUCAGCAAGGCACUGGGAAAAUCAGACUGUCCCCCUCUAACCUUUCCUGGUUUGUUUCACAUGGAACAGUAAAACUGCAGCAAAUGAUGCUUAAAAGACUAAUUGAAAAACUUCCAGUGAGUGACUACCAUUCCUUGCAGACUGCUUAAAAGGGUUUUCUGAAGUUUCUGUUUCCUUGGAGUAUCCAUAGGCAUAAAAUGCCAUGAGGUCCAGGUGCCCACAGGGAAAAAAAAGCCCCAUCACCAGGACAACACUGAGAAAAUUGCAAAUCUUUAUUCUAGGAGGAACAAAGGCUAGAUAGCAAUGGGCCUGUCUGUGCUUGACAGCACUGCAGACAGCCUUGGUCAGCCAAAAGCCUGUGCAUGUGCAUCUGGAGGAGGGGGAAUGAGCAGGUGUUCUUGAUCACUCAUAGCCUGGAAAUGCAUGAGCUGAGAGGAGACCAAGAGCACACAAACCCUCAGACUGCAAACCAAAUCACAAUUGGAAAUGUUAACCUUUCUUGAAACUUGAGAGUGCUCCUGGGAACAGAGAAAUGCCAGGGAUGCUCAAGAUGGAUAUUCUCAAAGCCCAGCCUCUGCCUAGAAAGGCCAGCCUUCUCCUACCCUCUGCUGCUGAUGGAGUGACUGAGUCUGCUCCAGGGUUGAUGCAGAGAUCCCAGGACUGGUAUUCUCACUUACCCUUUGGAGGACACGCCUGUCCGUAGUGACUACAGGAGGAAGCUUGGCACGAUAGAACCUUCCAAGUCUUUGUGAUCCCCUUUCUGGCAUACAUGGAGGCAAGGACUUCAAAGGGUCAGAAAAACAGGUUUAAAAAGAGAGAAUUUUCCAAUGUUAAGUGUUUUAUUUAA